GACGAACGCUGGCGGCGUGCUUAACACAUGCAAGUCGAACGGAAAGGCCUCUUUCGGGGGGUACUCGAGUGGCGAACGGGUGAGUAACACGUGAGUAACCUGCCCUUGACUUUGGGAUAACUUCAGGAAACUGGGGCUAAUACCGGAUAGGAGCUCCUGCUGCAUGGUGGGGGCUGGAAAGUUUCGGCGGUUGGGGAUGGACUCGCGGCUUAUCCGCCUUUUGGUGGGGUAGUGGCUUACCAAGGCUUUGACGGGUAGCCGGCCUGAGAGGGUGACCGGCCACAGUGGGACUGAGAGACGGCCCAGACUCCUACGGGAGGAAGAAGUGGGGAAUAUUGCACAAUGGGUGGAAGCCUGAUGCAGCAACGCCGUGUGCGGGAUGACGGCCUUCGGGUUGUAAACCGCUUUCGCUCAUGACGAAGCUUUGUGUGACGGUAGUGGGUAAAGAAGCACCGGCUAACUACGUG
rnacentral:rRNA from 1 species